rnacentral:tRNA from 1 species
GAGGGUAUAGCUCAGUGGCAGAGUGCUUGCCUAGCACGCACAAGAUCCUGGGUUCGAUCCCUAGUACCUCCA